ACAGAGGGGGCAAGCGUUGUUCGGAAUUACUGGGCGUAAAGGGCGCGUAGGCGGCCUGUUAAGUCGAACGUGAAGUCCCCGGGCUCAACCCGGGAACUGCGUCCGAUACUGGCAGGCUUGAAUUCGGGAGAGGGAUGUGGAAUUCCAGGUGUAGCGGUGAAAUGCGUAGAUAUCUGGAGGAACACCGGUGGCGAAGGCGACGUCCUGGACCGGCAUUGACGCUGAGGCGCGAAAGCCAGGGGAGCAAACGGGA
rnacentral:rRNA from 1 species